GGGAAAUGGGGCACCAUGGUACUUGGCCUUAGAGUCAAGAGUACAUAUAUACUCAGUGUCUCUGUAAAUGAAUAUCUAACAUUUUCUAAUCAAUAUUAUCAAACCCUUCAUCAAUGUAGACAUACGAUUAUCAAUAUGGUAUCAAAUUCAGAAAUUUCAAUUUCUGAGGGUAAUCGAUCCUUUCCCGUGAUUUCUUCACCAUCACAACCAUUAUUUCUCCUCCUCCUCCACCACCACCAUCACAUCGAUUAUGUAUCCAUCUUCCACAAUCAUAUCCCCUUCUGUUGUUGCUGAGAGAAUCGAAUUAUGCUUCCAAGGAUAGAUUAAUCACAAAUUUGUGCUCAAUUUGCUCCGAUCUCUUAUCUUACAACACAAAUUUCUCGAUCUGCAAUUUCUGGUCUACAUCGACAGUUGGCCUAUCACUCUUACUGCUAUGUUUCAAAUAAUGCUUUCCUAAGUACUUCGAAUAAUAUCGAGGAUCCCUCACCGAGUGGUUAUAUAGGCAAGCUCAUUUUUUACAAGUUGGUGGUUAUAUUGGCAAGAGCGGACCAGUUUAUAUAGUUGGUGACUGCUAGAGAUUGUUGGGUAUUUUUGCAGUGUUGUAUAUUCUUUGUUGGUGUGAUUUGUUACCAGCUUCAUUUCCUGUUGAUUCUUUAUGACUAUUACUACACCAACUACUGCUUCUGGCCUGUAACUUCUCCCGCCUUACUAUUCAGAAGAUGCAAUCAACUAUUCAGUUAUGCCUACAACUGUUUACUGUCUAUCUCAGUUAGGUCUUUAUGUUUGCAACUGACUAUGCUACUAUGUGCUUGUGGUGCUUCCUUCAGUCCAUGGUCUUUAUUGGAGAUGCUUCACUUCUUCAACUGCAGAGAUUUUUUGGGUCAGUAGUAUGGGUCAGGUGUGCAACAAAUGGUACUAGUUAUUAUUAUCUUUCCGUCAGGUCAUGCUUUGCUUAGCUCCAGUCUUUUCUUGUUCCUGCUGGAUUUGGUUGGUAGUUAUCAGUUUUGCAGAAUGUAUGCCGCUUCCCAUUUCCUGCAGAUUAUUCACCUGCACCAACUAGUUCUGCAACACCUACAUACUUCCAGCAUGAUAUGCCUACUAAUCUCGGUAUGACUACCCACAAGCUGCAACAACUUUGGCUCCUCCUAUGGUCAAUUCUACUAUUUUUUCUUUGCGUGUGAGUGACUGUAUGGCUUGUCCUGUGUGCAAUUUCAAUGUCCCUUUACAAGGCACCUUGACCUUGAGGGGGGAUAAUAGUGUGAGUGAUUGUAUGGUUUGUCCUGUGUGAGUGUAAGAGUCAUUGUAUGUGCCAUGAGCUUAUAUAUAUACUCAGUGUCUCUGUAAAUGAAUAUCUAAUCUUUUCUAAUUAAUAUUAUUAAACCCUUCAUCAA